UCGGUGGUACUAAGCGUACGACAAGUAGGGCGGGACACGAGAAAUCCUGUCUGAACAUGGGGGGACCAUCCUCCAAGGCUAAAUACUCGUAAUCGACCGAUAGUGAACCAGUACCGUGAGGGAAAGGCGAAAAGAACCCCGGGAGGGGAGUGAAAUAGAUCCUGAAACCGUGUGCAUACAAACAGUCGGAGCCUCUUUAUGGGGUGACGGCGUACCUUUUGUAUAAUGGGUCAGCGACUUACAUUCAGUGGCGAGGUUAACCGAAUAGGGGAGCCGUAGAGAAAUCGAGUCCGAACAGGGCGACAGUCGCUGGGUGUAGACCCGAAACCAGGUGAUCUACCCAUGGCCAGGAUGAAGGUGCGGUAACACGCCCUGGAGGUCCGAACCCACUAAUGUUGAAAAAUUAGGGGAUGAGCUGUGGGUAGGGGUGAAAGGCUAAACAAACCUGGAAAUAGCUGGUUCUCUCCGAAAACUAUUUAGGUAGUGCCUCAAGUAUCACCAUCGGGGGUAGAGCACUGUUAUGGCUAGGGGGUCAUUGCGACUUACCAAACCAUUGCAAACUCCGAAUACCGAUGAGUGCGAGCUUGGGAGACAGACGUCGGGUGCUAACGUCCGGCGUCAAGAGGGAAACAACCCAGACCGCCAGCUAAGGUCCCAAAGAUUGGCUAAGUGGAAAACGAAGUGGGAAGGCUAAAACAGUCAGGAUGUUGGCUUAGAAGCAGCCACCAUUUAAAGAAAGCGUAAUAGCUCACUGAUCGAGUCGUCCUGCGCGGAAGAUGUAACGGGGCUAAGCCAGUCACCGAAGCUGCGGAUAUGCAUUUAUGCAUAUGGUAGGAGAGCGUUCUGUAAGCCUGCGAAGGUGUCUUGUGAANNNCUAGCAAUAGAUAUGGUAGGAGAGCGUUCUGUAAGCCUGCGAAGGUGUCUUGUGAAGGAUGCUGGAGGUAUCAGAAGUGCGAAUGCUGACAUGAGUAGCGAUAAUGCGGGUGAAAAGCCCGCACGCCGUAAGCCCAAGGUUUCCUGUUCAACGUUCAUCGGAGCAGGGUGAGUCGGCCCCUAAGGCGAGGCAGAGAUGCGUAGCUGAUGGGAAGCAGGUUAAUAUUCCUGCACCGUCGUAUGAUGCGAUGGGGGGACGGAUCGCGGAAGGUUGUCCAACUGUUGGAAUAGUUGGUUUCUGGUUCAUAGAAGGCGCUUAGGCAAAUCCGGGCGCGGAAUUCAAGGGACUGGGACGGGCACCCAUGUGGUGCGAAGCAAUCGGAAGUGGUUCCAAGAAAAGCCUCUAAGCUUCAGUCAUACGAGACCGUACCGCAAACCGACACAGGUGGGCGAGAUGAGUAUUCUAAGGCGCUUGAGAGAACUCGGGAGAAGGAACUCGGCAAAUUGGUACCGUAACUUCGGGAUAAGGUACGCCCCGGUAGCUUGACCACUUUACUGUGGAAGGGUGAAAGGGUUGCAAUAAACUGGUGGCUGCGACUGUUUAAUAAAAACACAGCACUCUGCAAACACGAAAGUGGACGUAUAGGGUGUGACGCCUGCCCGGUGCUGGAAGAUUAAAUGAUGGGGUGCAAGCUCUUGAUUGAAGUCCCAGUAAACGGCGGCCGUAACUAUAACGGUCCUAAGGUAGCGAAAUUCCUUGUCGGGUAAGUUCCGACCUGCACGAAUGGCGUAACGAUGGCCACACUGUCUCCUCCCGAGACUCAGCGAAGUUGAAAUGUUUGUGAUGAUGCAAUCUACCCGCGGCUAGACGGAAAGACCCCAUGAACCUUUACUGUAGCUUUGCAUUGGACUUUGAACCAAUCUGUGUAGGAUAGGUGGGAGGCUUUGAAGCGGGGACGCCAGUUCUCGUGGAGCCAUCCUUGAAAUACCACCCUGGUUUGUUUGAGGUUCUAACCUUGGUCCGUUAUCCGGAUCGGGGACAGUGCAUGGUAGGCAGUUUGACUGGGGCGGUCUCCUCCUAAAGUGUAACGGAGGAGUUCGAAGGUACGCUAGGUACGGUCGGACAUCGUGCUAAUAGUGCAAUGGCAUAAGCGUGCUUAACUGCGAGACCGACAAGUCGAGCAGGUACGAAAGUAGGACAUAGUGAUCCGGUGGUUCUGUAUGGAAGGGCCAUCGCUCAACGGAUAAAAGGUACUCUGGGGAUAACAGGCUGAUUCCUCCCAAGAGUUCAUAUCGACGGGGGAGUUUGGCACCUCGAUGUCGGCUCAUCACAUCCUGGGGCUGUAGCCGGUCCCAAGGGUAUGGCUGUUCGCCAUUUAAAGUGGUACGUGAGCUGGGUUUAAAACGUCGUGAGACAGUUUGGUCCCUAUCUGCCGUGGGCGUUGGAAAUUUGAAGGGGGCUGCUCCUAGUACGAGAGGACCGGAGUGGACGAACCUCUGGUGUACCGGUUGUCACGCCAGUGGCAUUGCCGGGUAGCUAAGUUCGGAAGAGAUAACCGCUGAAAGCAUCUAAGCGGGAAACUUGCCUUGAGAUGAGAUUUCCCGGAGCCUUGAGCUCCUUGAAGGGUCGUUCGAGACCAGGACGUUGAUAGGCUGGGUGUGGAAGUGCAGUAAUGCAUUAAGCUAACCAGUACUAAUUGCCCGUACGGCUUGUCCCU
rnacentral:rRNA from 1 species